AACGCACCUUGCGCCCUUUGGUAUUCCGAAGGGCAUGCCUGUUUGAGUGUCAUUUAAUUCUCAACCCAAAAAGCUUUUACGAGCUCUUUUGUGGCUUGGAUGUGGGGGUUUUUGCUGGCUUCCUUCAGUGGAUGGUCUGCUCCCCUUAAAUGCAUUAGUGGGAUCUCUUGUGGACCGUCACUUGGUGUGAUAAUUAUCUAUGCCAUGCGACUUUGAAGCAAACUUUAUGGGAACCUGCUUAUAACCGUCCCUCACAAGGACAACUUAUUGACAUUUUGACCUCAAAUCAGGUAGGACUACCCGCUGAACUUAA
rnacentral:misc_RNA from 1 species